UAGGGUAGGGAUAGGGUAGGGUUAGGGGUAGGGUUAGGGUUAGGAGUAGGGUUGUGUUAGGAGCAGGGUUAGGCUUAGGGGUACGUUUAGGGUUAGGGUAGGGUUAGGGGUAGGUUAAGGUUAACCUAACCCUACCCCUAUCCCUACCCCUAUCCCUACCCCUAACCCUAAGCCUACCCCUAAGCCUACCUCUACCCCAACCACUAACCCUAUCCUAACCCUACCCCAACCCCUAAUCCCAACCCUCUCCUGUUUUGCCACUUUUCAGAA